rnacentral:lncRNA from 1 species
AGCCCAAGCAAAAGUAUUAGAUACCAGUCUCCUAAGCCCAAAUCAAAAUCCAGAAAAAUAAGUCAUUAAUCCACUUGUCAAACCCAAACAAUAAGUCCAAACCAAACCUAAUUUUAUUUAAUAAAACCCCACAAAAUAAAAAAAACCCAACUAAAACUUGCUAACCUCUGAUUAUGCAUCAAGUCGCAGCAUUAAUCUAUCCAGAAAUCACAUACAAUAUGCAAACAGAGGAUUAAGCUUAAGAGGGGGAAAUUAGUUUGAUUUUUCCAGAUUUCUUGGCCACAAUGAAAUGAGAAAGAAAAUGAGGGAUUAAAGCAGAAAUUUAUGCUUCAUGCCUCGCAGAAGCUUUCUUUUUUGAUGCAAAUGAGAAGGAAAAGUUUCUGCAACUUUUGAUGCUUCAUCAAUUCAGCAAAAUUACACGGCAAAAUUCGUAACUUCUCAGUGAAAGUCAUCUUCAGGCUCCCCAAAACAAAACACUUACAUGAAUCUCCUCGCAUGCCAUUUCAUGUCAUGAAUUUAAAUCCAAACACCAAGCAAACGAGAAGCAGAACAGAGUGCCAGAACAAACGGAUGCCCAAACAAAACCAUUCGAAACAAUUAUUUUGACAAGCAUGAAACAGUCGAACGUAUGCAAAUCAGAAAUUAAUCCAUCCUUCAGGCCGAACUUUCGAUGGAACAUUUCGUCGAAAAACAAACGGCCAUUAAAAUUUCACCAAUUUCUCGCUCAAUUGACAUAAAACAGCCCCCAAAAUUUCGUCAAAUGCAAAGAAAAGUCAUUCCAAUCAACCCAUAAAACAUACUCGGUCAAAAAUUGUGGGUAAUCCACACAAACAAUUGCAGAAAUCAUCCUCUGCUUUGAGCUUUAACAAUAUGAAUUUUGAGCAAAAAAAUGAAAUUCGAAGAAAGGAUCACUUACCAUACGCGUUUCCUCGGCGAGGCUUUGCUGAUGGCGGUGGCAAGGGACGGGAAGCUGGCAGUGGGAGCAAAGUUGGCGACGAUGGUGGAUUUCGGUGGCGGCAGUGGCGGCUCCGGUCGUGGCUUCUUCCUCUGACUACCCCUUCUCCUCUUGCUCAACGCCUUUGUCUUCCUCCUCUGUUUCUGUUUUUCAACCGACCCCGAAGCUUUCUCAAACUCCCUUGAACCGUAGCUCUCUUUCUUUUCUUCGGCCGAAGCCCUCACCUCUCUGUUUCUUUCCACCUGCUCUCUCUCCCUUUCCCUGUUUCCUUCCUCUGCCUCGUUUUCUUUUUUUUUCUUUUCUUGUCAGCCGAAGCCCUCUGUUCUAGUUUCCUCCCUCUUGCUUUCUCUCGGCUUUCUUUCUCUUCCCCAACCGGCUCCCUUUUGCCUCACGAAGCUCUCCUCUUCCGCUCAACCGAGAGCCUCCCCCUCUAUUUUCCUUAGCUUUUCUCUACCCAGCAGCUACCGGCCGCAGCUACCUCCUCUCCAUCUGGCCGCCCCUCCUUUCCUUUCCUUCACAAUCUCCCUUGCUUUUUUUCAUCCGCUGUUCUUUUUGUUCCAGUCGCUGCCCUCCUCUCUGUUUUCAGCCUUUUUAUCUUUUGUUGCUUUAUCCCCGUAGCCCUUCCUUCCUCUGUUUUUUUUUUCCUCCUCGCCGAAGCCCCCCCUAUUUUCCCCCUUUUUGUUUCUGCUCUUCUUUUUUCCGUUCCUCCUGCUGAAGCUUCCUCCCCUUGGCUUGCGGCUCCUUUCAUUUUAAAGGCACCCAAAGAAAC